GUGCCUUUUGUAGAAUGAACCGGCGAGUUACGAUCCCGUGCGAGGUUAAGCUGAAGAGGCGGAGCCGCAGCGAAAGCGAGUCUGAAUAGGGCGUUUAGUACGUGGUCGUAGACCCGAAACCAGGUGAUCUACCCAUGUCCAGGGUGAAGUUCAGGUAACACUGAAUGGAGGCCCGAACCCACGCACGUUGAAAAGUGCGGGGAUGAGGUGUGGGUAGCGGAGAAAUUCCAAUCGAACCUGGAGAUAGCUGGUUCUCCCCGAAAUAGCUUUAGGGCUAGCCUUAAGUGUAAGAGUCUUGGAGGUAGAGCACUGAUUGGACUAGGGGUCCUCAUCGGAUUACCGAAUUCAGUCAAACUCCGAAUGCCAAUGACUUAUCCUUAGGAGUCAGACUGCGAGUGAUAAGAUCCGUAGUCAAAAGGGAAACAGCCCAGACCGCCAGCUAAGGUCCCAAAGUGUGUAUUAAGUGGAAAAGGAUGUGGAGUUGCUUAGACAACUAGGAUGUUGGCUUAGAAGCAGCCACCAUUUAAAGAGUGCGUAAUAGCUCACUAGUCGAGUGACUCUGCGCCGAAAAUGUACCGGGGCUAAAUACACCACCGAAGCUGCGGAUUGAUACCAAUGGUAUCAGUGGUAGGGGAGCGUUCUAAGGACAGUGAAGUCAGACCGGAAGGACUGGUGGAGUGCUUAGAAGUGAGAAUGCCGGUAUGAGUAGCGAAAGACGGGUGAGAAUCCCGUCCACCGAAUGCCUAAGGUUUCCUGAGGAAGGCUCGUCCGCUCAGGGUUAGUCAGGACCUAAGCCGAGGCCGACAGGCGUAGGCGAUGGACAACAGGUUGAUAUUCCUGUACCACCUCUUUAUCGUUUGAGCAAUGGAGGGACGCAGAAGGAUAGAAGAAGCGUGCGAUUGGUUGUGCACGUCCAAGCAGUUAGGCUGAUAAGUAGGCAAAUCCGCUUAUCGUGAAGGCUGAGCUGUGAUGGGGAAGCUCCUUAUGGAGCGAAGUCUUUGAUUCCCCGCUGCCAAGAAAAGCUUCUAGCGAGAUAAAAGGUGCCUGUACCGCAAACCGACACAGGUAGGCGAGGAGAGAAUCCUAAGGUGUGCGAGAGAACUCUGGUUAAGGAACUCGGCAAAAUGACCCCGUAACUUCGGGAGAAGGGGUGCUUUCUUAACGGAAAGCCGCAGUGAAUAGGCCCAAGCGACUGUUUAGCAAAAACACAGCUCUCUGCGAAGCCGUAAGGCGAAGUAUAGGGGGUGACACCUGCCCGGUGCUGGAAGGUUAAGGAGAGGGGUUAGCGUAAGCGAAGCUCUGAACUGAAGCCCCAGUAAACGGCGGCCGUAACUAUAACGGUCCUAAGGUAGCGAAAUUCCUUGUCGGGUAAGUUCCGACCCGCACGAAAGGUGUAACGAUUUGGGCACUGUCUCAACCAGAGACUCGGUGAAAUUAUAGUACCUGUGAAGAUGCAGGUUACCCGCGACAGGACGGAAAGACCCCGUGGAGCUUUACUGUAGCCUGAUAUUGAAUUUUGGUACAGUUUGUACAGGAUAGGCGGGAGCCUUUGAAACCGGAGCGCUAGCUUCGGUGGAGGCGCUGGUGGGAUACCGCCCUGACUGUAUUGAAAUUCUAACCUACGGGUCUUAUCGACCCGGGAGACAGUGUCAGGUGGGCAGUUUGACUGGGGCGGUCGCCUCCUAAAGUGUAACGGAGGCGCCCAAAGGUUCCCUCAGAAUGGUUGGAAAUCAUUCGUAGAGUGCAAAGGCAUAAGGGAGCUUGACUGCGAGACCUACAAGUCGAGCAGGGACGAAAGUCGGGCUUAGUGAUCCGGUGGUUCCGCAUGGAAGGGCCAUCGCUCAACGGAUAAAAGCUACCCCGGGGAUAACAGGCUUAUCUCCCCCAAGAGUCCACAUCGACGGGGAGGUUUGGCACCUCGAUGUCGGCUCAUCGCAUCCUGGGGCUGUAGUCGGUCCCAAGGGUUGGGCUGUUCGCCCAUUAAAGCGGUACGCGAGCUGGGUUCAGAACGUCGUGAGACAGUUCGGUCCCUAUCCGUCGUGGGCGUAGGAAAUUUGAGAGGAGCUGUCCUUAGUACGAGAGGACCGGGAUGGACGCACCGCUGGUGUACCAGUUGUUCUGCCAAGGGCAUAGCUGGGUAGCUAUGUGCGGAAGGGAUAAGUGCUGAAAGCAUCUAAGCAUGAAGCCCCCCUCAAGAUGAGAUUUCCCAUAGCGUAAGCUAGUAAGAUCCCUGAAAGAUGAUCAGGUUGAUAGGUUCGAGGUGGAAGCAUGGUGACAUGUGGAGCUGACGAAUACUAAUAGAUCGAGGACUUAACCAUAUAA
rnacentral:rRNA from 1 species